rnacentral:pre_miRNA from 13 species
UGAACCCUGCUCUGGCUGGUCAAACGGAACCAAGUCCGUCUGCCUGAGAGGUUUGGUCCCCUUCAACCAGCUACAGCGGGGCCGACAU